GACUAACGCUGGCGGCGUGCCUAACACAUGCAAGUCGAACGAGUUGUUUAGAGUAGCAAUAUUUGAACAGCAAGUGGCGAACGGGUGAGUAACACGUAGAUAAUCUGCCUUUCAGACGGGGAUAACUCAGGGAAACUUGUGCUAAUACCCGAUGAGACUACGAGGGGGGACCUUCGCAGCCAAAGGUGGGCGAAAGCUCACGCUGGAAGAUGAGUCUGCGUCCUAUCAGCUAGUUGGUGGGGUAAAAGCCUACCAAGGCGAAGACGGGUAGCCGGCCUGAGAGGGUGAACGGCCACACUGGGACUGAGACACGGCCCAGACUCCUACGGGAGGCAGCAGUGAGGAAUUUUCCGCAAUGGGCGCAAGCCUGACGGAGCGACGCCGCGUGAGGGAUGACGGCCUUCGGGUUGUAAACCUCUUUUAUUAAGGAAAAAGGCAAUCGUGCUAACACCACGGUUGUUUGAUGGUACUUAUUGAAUAAGCCCCGGCUAACUACGUG
rnacentral:rRNA from 1 species